GAUCAUGGCUCAAGAUGAACGCUAGCUACAGGCUUAACACACGCAAGUCGAGGGGCAUCAGGAAGAAAGCUUGCUUUCUUUGCUGGCGACCGGCGCACGGGUGAGUAACACGUAUCCAACCUGCCCUUUACUCGGGGAUAGCCUUUCGAAAGAAAGAUUAAUACCCGAUAGUAUAAUGAUUCCGCAUGGUUUCAUUAUUAAAGGAUUCCGGUAAAGGAUGGGGAUGCGUUCCAUUAGGUUGUUGGUGAGGUAACGG
rnacentral:rRNA from 1 species